CCUACGGGUGGCAGCAGUGGGGAAUAUUGGGCAAUGGAGGCAACUCUGACCCAGCAACGCCGCGUGAGUGAUGAAGGUCUUCGGAUUGUAAAACUCUUUAAGUGGGGACGAAGAACGUGACUGUACCCACAGCAUAAGCCUCGGCUAACUACGUGCCAGCAGCCGCGGUAAUACGUAGGAGGCAAGCGUUAUCCGGAAUGACUGGGUUUAAAGGGUGCGCAGGCGGCGAGUUAAGUCAGCGGUAAAAUUUCGGGGCUCAACCCCGACGAGCCGUUGAAACUGGCUUGCUAGAGUGGGCGAGAAGUAGGCGGAAUGCGUGGUGUAGCGGUGAAAUGCAUAGAUAUCACGCAGAACUCCGAUUGCGAAGGCAGCAUACCGGCGCCCAACUGACGCUCAGGCACGAAAGCGUGGGUAUCGAACAGGAUUAGAUACCCUAGUAGUC
rnacentral:rRNA from 1 species